UUUUUUGGCUAUUGGGCCUAAUCUGGUCCUAUGUACCAAUGGGACUGGAACGGUCUACCGGGAUCCGUCAACUAAUCGACUUAGCUCCCUAUUCGACUCCUAGAUCCCUCCCUCUAUAAAUUAGGGCAAAACCCUAAAUCCUAAGACCUCAUCCUAAAAUGACAACCAACAAUCGCAACAGAACCCACAACAGAAUCCGAGGUACGUGUACUUACUUGUAUUGAAGCGUUGUUGCUUUGUAUACCAAAGAGAUUGGGUUUCCCAUUAUACUGUCACUCCAACAUCUCUUGGAUCACGUUCCGAAUGAAUUUUCUCAUCUAAGAGUGUAGGACAACGUAGAUCAAGGUGGUUUCUUCGGCUCAUAAUAUUUCGAAUUCAUCAAGAGACUUGGGAUUUUUCGACUGGAUAAUUACCUCCAAGGUAACAGUGAUAGAAUUCGAGAUGUUCAGUUUCUGAAAAAAUAUUUAUUAGAGGUUAUGAAAGGGUGAAUGAGAGCGACCAAGUGUCGAUUAAUGAAAUACUGUAUAACCAUCGAAUGGUUGGAAGCAUGACCUUUUAGAUGCCGGGGUUAGCUAUGGAAGAUGUAAAAUUGGAUUUGAAUAGGAUUUGUUUAGAUAAGGAAGAUUCAAUGUUGAAUGUAGAGGUGUGAUGCAAUCAUGGUCUCUUACUCCAUUUAAAGACUUCUUGGUCCAAUAAUAAUCCAGAAAGAAUAUUUUGGUCUUGCCCUAAUUAUGGAUCAAACAAGUGUAACUUUUUUUUUUUGGAGAGAUGGCAUGGUUGAUGAACGAUCUAAGUUCAUUAUUCCAAAGUUGGUGAAGAAAGUGAAGGACAUGAAUGAAAUAUGGAAGAUAAUGAAGACAAAGGAAGAAUUGAUUGGUGUUUACAGUGAUAGAGAAAUAAUGGAGAUAGAGGCUGAAUCUGCAUUCACUCAAAUAGAAGAACAAUGUAGCUCAUUUGUUAAAAUGAAAGACGAGGUAAAAAAUACACCACAGAAGACGAUUGAAGUGAAGAAAAUAGAGAGCUUUAGUAGUAUUUUCAUGGUAUGUAUCUUCAUAAUGUGUAUUGCUAUAUGGUUCAAAAUAGCCGGUCGAAGUAUUUUGUGUAGUAUUAUAAUAUGAAUUUAUCGUUGGUAGUGUUUCUUGUAUGGUAUGAUAGUUUGAACUUGAUUCUCCUAUGACGGUGUUUCUU